CUCUGAGCAAAACAGGCAACAAAAAUUUCCUCUUGACAAAAGGCUACACAUAAGAUCAAGUCGAUUCCCAGACAACAUAAUCUCCCUGAAUUGGAGCAGCACUCCAGCAGGCUGGGAGGAAGGGAUGAACCUGGGGGGAUUCAGGGGUUUGUAAGGUGUGGGCCCCCAGGGUAGGUCCUGCCUUGCCUGAAAAUGACUGAUUUGACUGCCAGGCUCCUGAAGGGGAGAAGUGAAGUCUGAAGUGAAGGAAGUCGUCCUGCGACCCAUGGAUCCGGCUCAUGAAGCUAACAGACUACUCCCGGCUGGAGCUUCGGAAUAAAAUUUAGAAGGUGCCCAACACCUUGAUCAGUGCCUGCUUUGUAGUAGGCAUUCAAAUACUGUGGACUGGAUGAAUGGAGUCACUUCCCUUCCAACCUGCACACCAACGUGGUUGAACUGCCUCCUUUCUAAGUGCCAAAGUCUGUUUUACAAGGCUGAUAUCAAAGGAGCAUUACAAAAUAUUGUCUAACAGAAGUACCAGGGCUGGAUCCCAAAGUUUUGUGUAGAUCUUGAUAAAGAGUUUGGAUUUUAUUCUAACAAGAGUGAAGAGCAUGACAAUGUUUGCAGAAGAGUGAUGGCUUCUUUCAGGCAACAGUGACAAUUACACCUCCUCUUUUUCUCUUUGAUCCUCCACCCUCUCCCUCCAGCACCUGGUACAAAGCUGGGUACCCAGCAGACACUCUGUAAAUUAAAGUGCUGCCAGCCUGAACAAUCUCAGUGGAAG
rnacentral:lncRNA from 1 species